AUUGAACGCUGGCGGCAGGCUUAACACAUGCAAGUCGAGCGGAGAUGAGGUGCUUGCACCUUAUCUUAGCGGCGGACGGGUGAGUAAUGCUUAGGAAUCUGCCUAUUAGUGGGGGACAACAUUCCGAAAGGAAUGCUAAUACCGCAUACGCCCUACGGGGGAAAGCAGGGGAUCUUCGGACCUUGCGCUAAUAGAUGAGCCUAGGUCGGAUUAGCUGGUUGGUGGGGUAAAGGCCUACCAAGGCGACGAUCUGUAGCGGGUCUGAGAGUAUGAUCCGGCACACUGGGACGGAGGCACGGCCCAGACUCCGACGGGAGGCAGCAGGGGGGAAGAUUGGACAAUGGGCGGAAGCCUGAUCCAGCCAUGCCGCGUGUGUGAAGAAGGCCUUUUGGUUGUAAAGCACUUUAAGCGAGGAGGAGGCUACCUGGAUUAAUACUCUAGGAUAGUGGACGUUACUCGCAGAAUAAGCACCGGCUAACUCUGUGCCAGCCGCCGCCGUAACAC
rnacentral:rRNA from 1 species